CCUACGGGAGGCAGCAGUGGGGAAUAUUGCACAAUGGGGGAAACCCUGAUGCAGCGACGCCGCGUGAGUGAAGAAGUAAUUCGUUAUGUAAAGCUCUAUCAGCAGGGAAGAAAAUGACGGUACCUGAGUAAGAAGCCCCGGCUAACUACGUGCCAGCAGCCGCGGUAAUACGUAAGGGGCAAGCGUUAUCCGGAUUUACUGGGUGUAAAGGGAGCGUAGACGGCAGUGCAAGUCUGGAGUGAAAGGCGGGGGCUCAACCCCCGGACUGCUCUGGAAACUGGACGGCUGGAGUGCAGGAGAGGUAGGUGGAAUUCCUAGUGUAGCGGUGAAAUGCGUAGAUAUUAGGAGGAACGC
rnacentral:rRNA from 1 species